rnacentral:sRNA from 1 species
CAUGCCCCUUAUACGCUGGGCUACACACGUGCUACAAUGGGUAGAACAGAGAGUUGCAAAGCCGUGAGGUGGAGCUAAUCUCAGAAAACUAUUCUUAGUUCGGAUUGUACUCUGCAACUCGAGUACAUGAAGUUGGAAUCGCUAGUAAUCGCGAAUCAGCAAUGUCGCGGUGAAUACGUUCUCGGGUCUUGUACACACCGCCCGUCACACCACGAGAGCUGGUUGCACCUGAAGUAGCAGGCCUAACCGUAAGGAGGGAUGCUCCGAGGGUGUGAUUAGCGAUUGGGGUGAAGUCGUAACAAGGUAUCCGUACGGGAACGUGCGGAUGGAUCACCUCCUUUCUAAGGAGUAUAAGUCUUUCUCUAUUCUAUUGGUAAUGUUCUUUACAUUACUUCUGAACAUUGGAAACUAUAUAGUAGAACAAACAAGAAAACAAAAAUUAACUCUAACAAUUUCUUAGAGUUAGCUGUCAAAAAAAUAGGUUAAAAUAAUUAAGGGCACACAAAGGAUGCCUAGGUAGUAAGAGCCGAUGAAGGACGUGGUAAGCUGCGAUAAGCCU